AUACGUAGGUGGCGAGCGUUAUCCGGAAUUACUGGGUGUAAAGGGUGUGUAGGCGGGAAGGCAAGUCGGAUGUGAAAAUUAUGGGCUCAACCCAUAAAGUGCGACCGAAACUGUUUUUCUUGAGGAUCGGAGAGGUAAUGAGAAUUCCCGGUGUAGCGGUGAAAUGCGCAGAGAUCGGGAGGAAUACCGGUGGCGAAGGCGAAUUACUGGACGAAAACGGACUCUGAGACACGAAAGCGUGGGGAGCAAACAGGAUUGGAUACCCUGGUAAUCCACGCUAUAAGCGAUGAGUGCUAGGUGUCGGGGGUCAAACCUGGGUGCCGCAGUUAACAUAUUAAGCACUACGCCUGGGGAGUACGGCCGCAAGGCUGAUACUGAAAUGAAUUGGCGGGG
rnacentral:rRNA from 1 species